AGAGCGACAGGUAUCCUAGCGGUUAGAGAGGGAGGUACCUAGCGGUUAGAGCGACAGGUAUCCUAGCGGUUAGAGAGGGAGGUACCUAGCGGUUAGAGGGGCAGGUAUCCUAGUGGUUAGAGCGUUGGGCCAGUAACCGAAAGGUUGCUGGAUCAAAUCCCUGAGCUGACAAGGUAAAAAUCUGUUGUUCUGCCCCUGAGGAAGGCAGUUAACCCAGUGUUCCCUGGGCAACGUGGAUGUUGAGUAAAGCAGCCCCCUGCACCUCUCUGAUUCAGAGGGGUUGGGUUAAAUGCGGAAGACACAUUUCAGUUGAAUACAUUCAGUUGGAGAACUGACUAGGUAUCCCCCUUUCCUUAAAAUGAGGGACAGACCUAAAUGAAUCACUAAUCACAAUAAAUAAUCAUCUUCAGAAAUGACUGUCAAAGCAUCAAAAUAACUGGGACUUUCAACAGGACGCAAAAGACACUCAAUUUGUGGAACGGCCCAGCAACUCUAUUACAGAGGACACUACAGGUGUACUCCACAGUGGAUAGAGGAUACUACAGGUGUACUCCACAGUGGAUAGAGGAUACUACAGGUGUACUCCACAGUGGAUAGAGGACACUACAGGUGUACUCCACAGUGGAUAGAGGACACUACAGGUGUACUCCACAGUGGAUAGUGGAUACUACAGGUGUACUCCACAGUGGAUAGAGGAUACUACAGAUUUACUUCAAGAUGAGCCUUGAAAGGAGUCUAUGGACUGAUGUGUGAUUCUGAGUCUGAGGAGAGACUGGUAUGAGGACUAGGAUCUAACUGGUAUCUGUGUGAGGACUUUCCAUGACCAAUACGGACCAUAUCUAAUAUUUGUUUAUUUUAAUAACCUUUCACCUCUAGUUUGUUGGUUUGUUUGUGUUGACCUCAGACAGGUUAGUUGUUGUUCAUCUGCUGCUGACUAUUUGCAAUAUGGGAUUCUGGUAACGUUUUAUUUUACAAUCCGGUUUAAGAUGGUAUUAGGGUUACAAUAUUCAGGUCACUCCAGAAGCGGAAUUUUGCAACCCUUAGAUGGUACUUGAUUGGUUCAAUGAAUCUCAACGAAACCGAAGUGUUAUAUGCAAUUAUCACGUAAUUAGCGUUUUAAUUUGUAAGUAACUACCCUUCCUGCUUAACGGUGGGUUGUAAAAUGAAACAUUACUGAGAUUCUUUGUUUCUCCGUUUUGAUACACCUGAAAAUGUACAUGCAAUGAUCAUGAAUUUGAUUUGACCUGUUGUUUUGUUCUCAUGUAUUAUGUGCCUUUCUGUAUGUGACAAUUCUGUUUAAAUUAAACAAACAUUUUUAAUCAACAAACCACUCCAUGAUUUUUUUAUUUAUUUAACUAGGCAAGUCAGUUAAGAACAAAUUCUUAUUUACAAUGACAGCCUACCGGGGACAGUGGGUUAACUGCCUUGUUCAGGGGCAGAACGACAGAUUUUUACCUUGUCAGCUCGGGGAUUCAAUCCAGCAAAGUUUCGGUUACUGGCCCAAUGCUCUAACCACUAGGCUACCUGCCACCCCAGGUGUUUGAAUGAGUGUGGUGGACAUGUUGUUGUUGACGGUUUGAUUUGCUUGAGAAAAAGUUGUGAAUACCACCUUAGUGGUGUGGAUGACAAUAAUGGUCAAAAUAAUGAAUGAACUGAUUAAAUGAAAUGAAAUUAA